GUGAACGCUGGCGGUAGGCCUAACACAUGCAAGUCGAACGGCAGCACAGUAAGAGCUUGCUCUUACGGGUGGCGAGUGGCGGACGGGUGAGGAAUACAUCGGAAUCUACUUUUUCGUGGGGGAUAACGUAGGGAAACUUACGCUAAUACCGCAUACGACCUACGGGUGAAAGCAGGGGAUCUUCGGACCUUGCGCGAUUGAAUGAGCCGAUGUCGGAUUAGCUAGUUGGCGGGGUAAAGGCCCACCAAGGCGACGAUCCGUAGCUGGUCUGAGAGGAUGAUCAGCCACACUGGAACUGAGACACGGUCCAGACUCCUACGGGAGGCAGCAGUGGGGAAUACUGGACAAUGGGCGCAAGCCUGAUCCAGCCAUACCGCGUGGGUGAAGAAGGCCUUCGGGUUGUAAAGCCCUUUUGUUGGGAAAGAAAAGCAGCAGGUUAAUACCCCGCUGUUCUGACGGUACCCAAAGAAUAAGCACCGGCUAACUUCGUG
rnacentral:rRNA from 1 species